CCUACGGGUGGCAGCAGUGAGGAAUAUUGGUCAAUGGACGAGAGUCUGAACCAGCCAAGUAGCGUGAAGGAUGACUGCCCUAUGGGUUGUAAACUUCUUUUAUAUGGGAAUAAAAUGUUCCACGUGUGGGAUUUUGUAUGUACCAUAUGAAUAAGGAUCGGCUAACUCCGUGCCAGCAGCCGCGGUAAUACGGAGGAUCCGAGCGUUAUCCGGAUUUAUUGGGUUUAAGGGAGCGUAGGGGGAUUGUUAAGUCAGUUGUGAAAGUUUGCGGCUCAACCGUAAAAUUGCAGUUGACACUGGCAGUCUUGAGUACAGUAGAGGUGUGCGGAAUUCGUGGUGUAGCGGUGAAAUGCUUAGAUAUCACGAAGAACUCCGAUUGCGAAGGCAGUUCACUGGACUGCAACUGACACUGAGGCUCGAAAGUGUGGGUAUCAAACAGGAUUAGAUACCCCAGUAGUC
rnacentral:rRNA from 1 species